AUUGAACGCUGGCGGCAGGCCUAACACAUGCAAGUCUAACGAGUGGCGGACGGGUGAGUAAUGUCUGGGAAACUGCCUGAUGGAGGGGGAUAACUACUGGACACGGUAGCUAAUACCGCAUACCCUCAGUUGUGCCCACAUGGGAUUAGCUAGUUGGUGGGGUAACGGCUCACCAAGGCGACGAUCCCUAUCUGGUCUGAGAGGAUGACCAGCCACACUGGAACUGAGACACGGUCCAGACUCCUACGGGAGGCAGCAGUGGGGAAUAUUGCACAAUGGGCGCAAGCCUGAUGCAGCCAUGCCGCGUGUAUGAAGAAGGCCUUAGGGUUGUAAAGUACUUUCAGCGGGGAGGCGUUACCCGCAGAAGAAGCACCGGCUAACUCCGUGCCAGCAGCCGCGGUAAUUC
rnacentral:rRNA from 1 species